GGUCCCGCCUGCCCCGUGACACUCAAGUUUAACGGCCGCGGUAUCCUGACCGUGCAAAGGUAGCGCAAUCACUUGUCUUUUAAAUGAAGACCUGUAUGAACGGCAUAACGAAGGCUUAACUGUCUCCUUUUUCAAGUCAAUGAAAUUGAUCUCCCCGUGCAGAAGCGGGGAUAACUACAUAAGACGAGAAGACCCUGUGGAGCUUUAGACACAAAGCAGAUCUGGCCAAACACCCACACGACCCAAGCUAAAAGAACCCUGCUCCAAUGUCUUCGGUUGGGGCGACCACGGGGAAACACAUAACCCCCAUGAAGAAUAAGAGCAUAUCCUCUUAAAAAUGCGAGCUACCACUCCAAAAAACAGAAUUUCUGACUAUAAGAUCCGGUAAUACCGAUCAACGGACCAAGUUACCCCAGGGAUAACAGCGCAAUCCCCUUCAAGAGCCCAUAUCGACAAGGGGGUUUACGACCUCGAUGUUGGAUCAGGACAUCCUAAUGGUGCAGCCGCUAUUGAGGGUUCGUUUGUUCAACGAUUAAAGUCCUACGUGAUCUGA
rnacentral:rRNA from 1 species